rnacentral:lncRNA from 1 species
GGAUGGAUGGAAAGUGAAAAAGAUGCUGUAUAUUUUCAUCUUGUAUCUUUGACCCCUCCCAAAAAGACAGCACUGUUCUUCUGGAGGUUUGGAAGGAAGCACAGAGCAUUGCUGGUAGAGCAUCACUCCCUGAGCCAAGUAGUUUCCUGGUGAAUUGCUGCUCUUCAAGUUGGAGGACUGGAAAUGGAGAAAUAAAUGAUUGCAUUGGACAGAUGCUCUUACCCA